CCAGAGUCCUACGGAGGCAGCAGGUAAGAAUAUUCCGCAAUGGGGGGAACCCUGACGGAGCGACGCCGCGUGAACGAAGAAGGCCGGAAGGUUGUAAAGUUCUUUUCUGUCCGAGGAAUAAGUUCCGGAGGAAAUGCCGGGACGGUGACGGUAGGGCAGGAAUAAGCACCGGCUAAUUACGUGCCAGCAGCCGCGGUAACACGUAAGGUGCGAGCGUUGUUCGGAAUUAUUGGGCGUAAAGGGCAUGCAGGCGGGUCGCCAAGCUUGGUAAGAAAUACCGGGGCUCAACUCCGGAGCUAUAUUGAGAACUGGCGAGCUAGAGUUGCCGAAGGGUAUCCGGAAUUCCGCGUGAAGGGGUGAAAUCUGUAGAUAUGCGGAAGAACACCGAUGGCGAAGGCAGGAUACCGGCGGACGACUGACGCUGAGGUGCGAAGGUGCGGGGAGCAAACAGGAUUAGAUACCCUGGUAGUCCGCACAGUCAACGAUGUACACUGGGCGUGUGCGCAAGAGCGUGCGUGCCGAAGCAAACGCGAUAAGUGUACCGCCUGGGGAGUAUGCCCGCAAGGGUGAAACUCAAAGGAAUUGACGGGGG
rnacentral:rRNA from 1 species